GAUGAACGCUAGCGGGAGGCUUAACACAUGCAAGUCGUGGGGCAGCACGGGGUAGCAAUAUCCUGGUGGCGACCGGCGCACGGGUGAGUAACGCGUAUGCAACCUACCCAGUACAGGGGGAUAGCCCGGAGAAAUUCGGAUUAAUACCCCAUAAUGAUAUAGAGAGGCAUCUUUUUAUAUUUAAAGCUACGGCGGUACUGGAUGGGCAUGCGUAAGAUUAGCUAGUUGGUAGGGUAACGGCCUACCAAGGCUCCGAUCUUUAGGGGUCCUGAGAGGGUGAUCCCCCACACUUGGACUGAGACACGGACCCGACUCCUACGGGAGGCAGCAGUGAGGAAUAUUGGUCAAUGGGCGCAAGCCUGAACCAGCCAUCCCGCGUGAAGGAAGAAGGCGCUAUGCGUUGUAAACUUCUUUUCCGGAGGAAUAAAAUUUUGUACGAGUACAGGGCUGAAGGUACUCCGGGAAUAAGCAUCGGCUAACUCCGUGCCAGCCGCCGCAGUAACAC
rnacentral:rRNA from 1 species